UACGUAGGGUGCAAGCGUUGUCCGGAAUUAUUGGGCGUAAAGAGCUCGUAGGCGGUCUGUCACGUCGGCUGUGAAAUCCCGAGGCUCAACCUCGGGUCUGCAGUCGAUACGGGCAAACUAGAGUAUUGCAGGGGGAGACUGGAAUUCCUGGUGUAGCGGUGAAAAUGCGCAGAUAUCAGGAGGAACACCGAUGGCGAAGGCAGGUCUCUGGGCAUUAACUGACGCUGAGGAGCGAAAGCAUGGGGGAGCGAACAGG
rnacentral:rRNA from 1 species